GACGAAUGCUGGCGGCGUGCCUAACACAUGCAAGUCAACUUGACUGAAGGAGCAAUCUGACAGUAGAGUGGCGCAAGGGUGCGUAACGCGUAAGUAACUUGCCCCAAGGUAAGGAAUAACGUCGAGAAAUCGGCGCUAAUACCUCAUAAUGCAGCGGAUCCGCAUGGAUAUGUUGUUAAAGGUUUACCGCCUUGGGAUAGGCUUGCGUCUGAUUAGCUAGUUGGUGUGGUAACGGCACACCAAGGCUACGAUCAGUAACUGGUCUGAGAGGAUGAUCAGUCACACUGGAACUGAGACACGGUCCAGACUCCUACGGGAGGCAGCAGUGAGGAAUAUUGGGCAAUGCCCGAAAGAGUGACCCAGCAACGCCGCGUGGAGGAUGAAGGUAUUCUAUAUCGUAAACUCCUGUGAGAGCAGACGAAAGACAGAUUAUUAAUACUGGAUGACUGUAUGCUCAGAGG
rnacentral:rRNA from 1 species